UACAGAGGUCCCAAGCGUUGUUCGGAUUCACUGGGCGUAAAGGGUGCGUAGGCGGUCGGGUAAGUCUGACGUGAAAUCUCCAAGCUCAACUUGGAAAUGGCGUCGGAUACUAUUCGGCUCGAGGAAUGGAGGGGAGACUGGAAUUCUCGGUGUAGCAGUGAAAUGCGUAGAUAUCGAGAGGAACACCAGUGGCGAAGGCGAGUCUCUGGACAUUUCCUGACGCUGAGGCGCGAAAGCGUGGGGAGCAAACAGG
rnacentral:rRNA from 1 species